rnacentral:rRNA from 1 species
UACGAGGGGGGGCUAGCGUUGCUCGGAAUCACUGGGCGUAAAGCGCACGUAGGCGGAUUGCUAAGUCAGGGGUGAAAUCCUGGAGCUCAACUCCAGAACUGCCUUUGAUACUGGCAACCUAGAGGCUGGAAGAGGUUAGUGGAAUUCCCAGUGUAGAGGUGAAAUUCGUAGGUAUUGGGAAGAACACCAGUGGCGAAGGCGGCUAACUGGUCCAGAUCUGACGCUGAGGUGCGAAAGCGUGGGGAGCAAACAGG